rnacentral:rRNA from 1 species
CCUACGGGUGGCAGCAGUGAGGAAUAUUGGUCAAUGGUCGCGAGACUGAACCAGCCAAGUAGCGUGAAGGAUGAAGGUACAGAGUAUUGUAAACUUCUUUUAUCAGGGAAUAAAGUGGGGCACGUGUGCCUGGUUGUGUGUACCUGAUGAAUAAGCAUCGGCUAACUCCGUGCCAGCAGCCGCGGUAAUACGGAGGAUCCGAGCGUUAUCCGGAUUUAUUGGGUUUAAAGGGUGCGUAGGCGGCCUUUUAAGUCAGCGGUGAAAGUCUGGGGCUCAACCAUAGAAGCGCCGUUGAACCUGGCAGGCUCGAGUUGGAGAGAGGUAUGCGGAAUGCGCGGUGUAGCGGUGAAAUGCAUAGAUAUCGCGCAGAACUCCGAUUGCGAAGGCAGCCUGCC